rnacentral:rRNA from 1 species
GAAAAAAGAAUCCUCCGAGUGAUAAAAAUCUAGACUCACCAGUCAAAACAUAACANCACUCAUUGACCCAAAACCUUUGAUCAACGGAACA